ACUCCUACGGGAGGCAGCAGUGGGGAAUUUUGGACAAUGGGCGAAAGCCUGAUCCAGCCAUGCCGCGUGCAGGAUGAAGGCCUUCGGGUUGUAAACUGCUUUUGUACGGAACGAAACGGCCUUUUCUAAUAAAGAGGGCUAAUGACGGUACCGUAAGAAUAAGCACCGGCUAACUACGUGCCAGCAGCCGCGGUAAUACGCAGGGUGCAAGCGUUAAUCGGAAUUACUGGGCGUAAAGCGUGCGCAGGCGGUUAUGUAAGACAGUUGUGAAAUCCCCGGGCUCAACCUGGGAACUGCAUCUGUGACUGCAUAGCUAGAGUACGGUAGAGGGGGAUGGAAUUCCGCGUGUAGCAGUGAAAUGCGUAGAUAUGCGGAGGAACACCGAUGGCGAAGGCAAUCCCCUGGACCUGCACUGACGCUCAUGCACGAAAGCGUGGGGAGCAAACAGGAUUAGAUACCCUUGUAGUCCCAUGA
rnacentral:rRNA from 1 species